rnacentral:lncRNA from 1 species
UGAGAACGGCCAGCCCUAACCCCAAAGCAGGGGAAGCCUCUGAGGGGAGGGAGAACCUAAAGAGACAGCAAGGAAGUCUGCAGGCAGAGGCAGGGGCACGGGGUGCUGGAAAUGGAGUUGGAACCCAGGACCUGGCACAGGCAGAGACAGGCGCUGUUAGGACUGUGUUGCUCUCUCUCCCUUUCUCUUUUUUGAGAUUACUUACGUGUUUGAAUAAAAUCAGAGAAAACUCA